rnacentral:rRNA from 1 species
UAUUGGGCAAUGCCCGCAAGGGUGACCCAGCAACGCCGCGUGGAGGAUGAAUGUCGUAAGAUUGUAAACUCCUGUUAGAGGGGAAGAAUAGUACCGGUUGGACCGGUAUAUGACUGUACCCUCAGAGAAAGCCCCGGCUAACUACGUGCCAGCAGCCGCGGUAAUACGUAGGGGGCAAGCGUUGUCCGGAUUUACUGGGUGUAAAGGGCGCGCAGGCGGGAUAAAAAGUCAGUGGUGAAAUCCUACAGCUUAACUGUAGAACUGCCUGUGAUACUUUGAUUCUUGAGUUCGGGAGAGAGAGACGGAAUUCCAGGUGUAGUGUUGAAAUACGUAGAUAUCUGGAAGAACACCAGUUGCGAAGGCGGUCUCUUGGUCCGACACUGACGCUGAGGCGCGAAAGCGUGGGAGC